GUCUAAAAAAUCUAAGACUGUUUGCAGUUUGAAAAACGGUUCGUCACUAAGAAAAAAUGCAGCAUGGAGUGGUAUAUUUUCGCGAUAUACAGAAGGGAAAUACUUUUUCCUCUCCGUUUCUAUUGCAGGGCACUGGAUAAGAGCAUGGAUGACUGUCAGGCCAUCGCCGCACCUACUACAAGUAGGAGGAUCCCCGCCAGUCAAGAUGUAGGAGUGAGUACUCGCAUAUCCAGGGAUAACCAUGCACAACUCAAGGCUUUCAGUGCGAACUGCGAAAUAAAUGUCCGCAAGCCCGACAAAGGAGCCUCGGUGGAUGUGAUGCCAGCAGCGUGUGCUGCAACAAUG